rnacentral:rRNA from 1 species
AUUGAACGCUGGCGGCAGGCCUAACACAUGCAAGUCGAGCGGAUGACGGGAGCUUGCUCCUUGAUUCAGCGGCGGACGGGUGAGUAAUGCCUAGGAAUCUGCCUGGUAGUGGGGGACAACGUUUCGAAAGGAACGCUAAUACCGCAUACGUCCUACGGGAGAAAGCAGGGGACCUUCGGGCCUUGCGCUAUCAGAUGAGCCUAGGUCGGAUUAGCUAGUUGGUGAGGUAAUGGCUCACCAAGGCGACGAUCCGUAACUGGUCUGAGAGGAUGAUCAGUCACACUGGAACUGAGACACGGGCCAGGCUCCUACGGGAGGCAGCAGUGGGGAAUAUUGGACAAUGGGCGAAAGCCUGAUCCAGCCAUGCCGCGUGUGUGAAGAAGGUCUUCGGAUUGUAAAGCACUUUAAGUUGGGAGGAAGGGCAGUAAGCUAAUACCUUGCUGUUUUGACGUUACCGACAGAAUAAGCACCGGCUAACUCUGUGCCAGCCGCCGCAGUAACAC